rnacentral:rRNA from 1 species
AUGGGGCGGCCUACACAUGCAGUCGAGCGGUUGACGGGAGCUUGCUCCCUGAUUCAGCGGCGGACGGGUGAGUAAUGCCUUGGAAUCUGCCUAUUAGUGGGGGACAACGUUUCGAAAGGAACGCUAAUACCGCAUACGUCCUACGGGAGAAAGCAGGGGACCUUCGGGCCUUGCGCUAAUAGAUGAGCCUAGGUCGGAUUAGCUAGUUGGUGGGGUAAUGGCUCACCAAGGCGACGAUCCGUAACUGGUCUGAGAGGAUGAUCAGUCACACUGGAACUGAGACACGGUCCAGACUCCUACGGGAGGCAGCAGUGGGGAAUAUUGGACAAUGGGCGAAAGCCUGAUCCAGCCAUGCCGCGUGUGUGAAGAAGGUCUUCGGAUUGUAAAGCACUUUAAGUUGGGAGGAAGGGCAGUAAAUUAAUACUUUGCUGUUUUGACGUUACCGACAGAAUAAGCACCGGCUAACUCUGUGCCAGCAGCCGCGGUAAU